AAACCCUCCAAAGUCUCCCUGUUCUCCUCCGCACGGUUCUACUCAACCGACGCAGCUACAAUCAGCCACCACCGUACUGCCCGAACUCACCGCCCGUAAUAAGAUGGAGUUCGUAAGCCCUGAAGGUUUUCGCUUAGUUGGUCGCCGUCCCAUGGAAGUGAGGCACAUUCGAGCUGGUGUUGUAUCCAAAAAAAGCCGACGGUUCUGCUAUGUUCGAAAUGGGUAACACCAAAGUUAUUGCUGCUGUAUAUGGCCCCAGAGAGGUCCAAAAUAGGAGCCAACAACUGAAUGCCAAUGCAUUGGUGAGAUGUGAAUACGCCAUGGCAAAUUUCAGUACCGGAGAUCGGAUGAGAAAACCGAAGGGUGAUAGGAGAUCCACUGAGAUAUCUCUAGUUAUUCGCCAAACCAUGGAAGAAUGCAUUUUGACAAACUUAAUGCCUCGGUCUCAGAUAGACAUUGUUGUGCAAAUUCUCCAAGCAGAUGGAGGUAAUAGAUCUGCAUGUAUCAAUGCUGCAACCCUGGCCCUUGCAGAUGCUGGAAUUCCAAUGAGAGAUCUUGUCACUUCCUGCAGUGCUGGGUACCUUAAUAACACACCUCUACUCGAUUUAAACUAUAUAGAAGAUAGUGCUGGAGGUGCUGAUGUCACUUUAGGAAUUAUGCCGAAGUUGGACAAAGCGACUCUUUUGCAGAUGGAUGCUAAGUUGUCCUUGGAUACUUUUGAAAAUGUAAAGCAACUUGCAAUAGAAGGGUGCAAGGCAGUUGCAGAUUACAUUAGAGAAAUAUUACUGGCGAAUACAAAGCAAUUGGAGUAUCUUCGAGGAACAUAAUUUCAGAGCUUGUUAAGGCUGGCUACUGUGUAGAUGGUGGAUGAUGGUUAUUGUACCCCCCACCCCCAAAUGGAGAGUUUGUUUUGGAAUCUGGUAGUAGUAACAUCGGCGAAAUUGGUUAAUUUUGGUGAUGUGCUGCCGUGCUGCUGAAACGAAG